UACGUAGGGUGCGAGCGUUGUCCGGAAUUAUUGGGCGUAAAGGGCUCGUAGGCGGUCUGUCGCGUCGGGAGUGAAAACUCGGGGCUUAACUCAGAGCCUGCUUCUGAUACGGGCAGACUAGAGGUAUGCAGGGGAGAAUGGAAUUCCUGGUGUAGCGGUGAAAUGCGCAGAUAUCAGGAGGAACACCGGUGGCGAAGGCGGUUCUCUGGGCAUGACCUGACGCUGAGGAGCGAAAGUGUGGGGAGCGAACAGG
rnacentral:rRNA from 1 species